rnacentral:rRNA from 1 species
GGCGUACAGGACGAACGCUGGCGGCAUGCCUAACACAUGCAAGUCGACGGGGGUAGCAAUACCCUAGUGGCGAACGGGUGAGUAACACAUAAGCAAUCUGCCCUUCACAGGGGGAUAACAGCGGGAAACUGCUGCUAAUACCGCAUAAGACCACAGUACCGCAUGGUACAGGGGUAAAAACGAAUCAGUGGUGAAGGAUGAGCUUAUGUCCCAUUAGCUAGUUGGUGAGAUAACAGCCCACCAAGGCGACGAUGGGUAGCCGACCUGAGAGGGUGAUCGGCCACACUGGAACUGAGACACGGUCCAGACUCCUACGGGAGGCAGCAGUGGGGAAUAUUGGGCAAUGGAGGAAACUCCUUACCCAGCAAUGCCGCGUGAGUGAAGAAGGUCUUCGGAUUGUAAAGCUCUUUGAUUGGGGACGAAGAAAGUGACGGUACCCAAAGAACAAGCCCCGGCUAACUACGUGCCAGCAGCAGC